rnacentral:rRNA from 1 species
AUGGAUGGUGACAAUCCAUCAUGGCGGCUAACUGGGUUCUAUGGGGAACCAAUUUGGGAAAGGAAGCACCUCUCGUGGACAUGCUUGUGUGAUCUUCAUAAUAACAAUGCGGGGCCUUGGUUAGUGCUUGGUGAUUUUAAUGAAAUAAUCACUACAAGUGAGAAAGAAGGAGGUAAUAUUCGGCCUCAACACUACAUGCAGGAGUUCAGAGAUUGUAUUGAUGAUUGUGGCUUGCAAGAGGUCAUGGUGAUAGGAGACUUGUUCACUUGGAGUCGGGGGCCUAUUAGAGAGAGGCUCGAUAGGGCCUUAUGCAAUGAGUUAUGGGCAAGAAAAUUUCCGUAUGCAGGCUUGGUACAUGAGCAUCAUAUAAAUUCAGAUCACAGGCCGAUUCUC